AAGGAGCUGACUUAACUCGAGAGUCUUGUCCGAACGGAUGCCAGUUUUAAUAAGGCUCAGCUUUGAAAGCUGUGGUACAAAACCAAAAUACAACGGAUACUCAGAAGAGAACCAAUUAUCAUAGGUCAACCGUUGGAGUUUUGGUAGACAUAUCAGCUCAACUCUCUGAAAUUUCCCCUGGUCGACCUCAAUCUCAACAAGUUGAUCAUGUUCUACUUGCAGCACAGAAUGGAACCCUGAGUCACAAC
rnacentral:lncRNA from 1 species